rnacentral:rRNA from 1 species
GUGUAGCGGUGAAAUGCGUAGAUAUAUGAAAGAACACCAGUGGCGAAGGCGGCUGUCUGGUCUGAAACUGACGCUGAGGCUCGAAAGCAUGGGUAGCGAACAGGAUUAGAUACCCUGGUAGUCCAUGCCGUAAACGAUGAGUGCUAAGUGUUGGAAGGUUUCCGCCCUUCAGUGCUGCAGCUAACGCAUUAAGCACUCCGCCUGGGGAGUACGACCGCAAGGUUGAAACUCAAAGGAAUUGACGGGGGCCCGCACAAGCGGUGGAGCAGUG